UGGCUCUGUGGACCUUCAGUUUGGUGAUGUUUAAUACCUCUCCUCUCCUACAUUUUCCUUCAGAGCCUCCCAAACACCGAGUGAACCCUGGCAAAUUAUAUCUCAUUAUCAAUGUGGACAUCCCUGGAAAGCAGACUGCCAAAGUGUUGUGAAUGUGGGUAAGAUGAUGUAGAAGAAUUAAAAGUGAGAAGUUUACUUAUAUACAAGUUCAAAGAUGACAUCCUUCCUCUAUUGACUGACUAAACCUUAUCAAGAAGAAUAAAGGGUUGUGCUAAUGGAAAUGGAAGAAAAAGAAUGCUGGAAAUGUUACUGUACUCCUCAGAAGGAAAAGAGACUUCAGAACUUAGGAAUUCAUUACCCCUGGCCCAUACAACUGACAGGAUUUUUAAUCAACCUACAGGGAAAGGAUUCAAUUGAAUAAGGUGAAUCUAUCACAGCUUGACUGAAGAAAAGAGGAUGUAUUCAUACUUAUGCCAAAGUCUGAUACAACACGGGGGGAGAAGGGAAUAAAGAAUCUAAGUAACUUUAGACACUAAGAAGGAGUUGACAAGAAGAAAAAAACCUGUGGUAGAUGAUUAGAGUUCAAAUAUUGUCUACUCUUCACACUUUACUAUUUUACCUCCAGAAAGGGUGCCUUUCUAGACCCAGAUCUCUAGAGACCAAGUCCCCUACCCUCACCCUCAUCCCAUGGAAUUAAUCCACUAAACUCUGUCUUGGGGAAGUACUAUCUUAAUUGGUGGGUGACUGAAUGAAAACUCUACCCUAGUAUAUAUAUUUGGUCCCAGACUAUCAGAAGCCAUUCUGCCAUCUGUUCUGUCAUUCCUCUCAUCCAACUCUACCCAUGCCCCAGGCCUAGUCCCCCAAUUGCUCUGAAAAUCAAAUGUAAUCAAAAUGUAGCUACUA